GACCAAGGAGUUUAUUGUGUACGCAAGUCAUUGGGUGAAUAAAACCCAAAGGCGAAAUGAAAGUAAAGAGUUGAGUUUAUAAAAAAAAGAUUUAUUUUUUUUUUAUUUCUCUCUUUAGGGAAGAUGAAAAUUUAAUUUACAGAAUAACUUUAUUUUGUUUAUAUAAAUUUUUCGCAUUCCCAGGGCGCUUGUUUCACGCUUUGCGUGUCGAUGCGCACCUAGAGCGUACACGCUGAUACCCGAAAGAUGGUGAACUAUGCCUGGCCAGGACGAAGCCAGGGGAAACCCUGGUGGAGGUCCGCAGCGAUUCUGACGUGCAAAUCGAUCGUCGGAGCUGGGUAUAGGGGCGAAAGACCAAUCGAACCAUCUAGUAGCUGGUUCCCUCUGAAGUUUCCCUCAGGAUAGCUUGCGCUCAUUUGAUACGAGUCUCAUCCGGUAGAGCGAAUGAUUAGAGGCAUUGGGGUCGAAACGACCUCAACCUAUUCUCAAACUCCAAAUAGAUGAGAUCCCCGGCUUUCUUAAAAUUGAAGCCGUGGGAAUAGGAUCAGAGUGCCAAGUGGGCCAAUUUUGGUA
rnacentral:rRNA from 1 species